CUAAUGUGACUCCCACUGCUCCCCUCCACCCUCCCUUACCUGACUACUCAGUCUACUAAUCCUCUCUCUGAAUUUUGUUUCCCCUCUGAAGAGACUCGAAGACCAGCAACAAAAGUCCACCAAGUGAGGAGCCCCCAUACCAUCUGGGCUGGUCCCAUACUCAAGGGGAUCCUGAGGAAUGCUCCAGUAAACUGCUAGACGUUAUUUCCUUAAAGCUUCAAGAGGAAACUAAAAUUAAAAUUAAUGGUAAACCUUGCCAAAUUCUCGUAGAUACCAGGGCUAUACUCCCUACUUUCAACCUCACUCGCUCUGGAGACAGCAGAUGGGAUCCUGGGGAAACUGGCAGAAGCCAGCAAAGGAUGAGAAUUCACACCAGAGUCAGCUAUUCUGGAUCUCUGUACUGUCCAGUAGAGAGAAGGAGGCCUUCUUCCCUGAGCUAAACGAAACCAUGUACCCAGGGGGAAAGAAAAACAUUCCAAAGACAAACAGCUCUAAAUCUAGAACACAGGAACUACCAACCAAAUGAUCUCCCUAAGACAGAAAAGGAACAACAGGAAUGACUGACUUGGAGAAUGUGAACUGGACAUCAUGACCUGUGAACAGCACACAGAUAUUCAGCAAAAAUUGUGAGAACUCCCGAGCAGUAGCUGGGAGGAGCUCCGCCAUAUCACACGCGAAGAGCUCUUAACGGAAGAGUUUUAAACAGAAAACGACAGACAGGAAAAUAUAAUCCCGUUAAGGAAUCUGCCUUGAUUUGUAAGACCUGAAACCGACUAGGCGAGAGACAUUUUGCAUCCCGUUCCGUCAAAAGUGCUCUGGGAUUAUAAAGUUUCAAUGCAUUGAACAUACAGCAUCACAGACACAGGAGGAACCUCAAGGAUGUCCAUCAGCCCAGGACCUUUGUCUUCCGGGAGAGAACACCUACUUUCAGGGACAGGGGAUAGACUUAACCGGGUCAAACAGCAAGAGUGGCACCAGCCACACCUGCCACCUCUCCAGUACGCAACCAUAGCGUAGCAGGAUCCUGCCACAGAAGAGUCAUGACACCGAGGCUUUUCUUUCCAGGAAGCAACUUCAUUCCUGCCGACACCGCUCCGUUGGGUUCUUAGCCGAAGAACUGAGCCCCGAACGCCACGUGGCCUAGUUUUUUAAUGUAUUUUUUUUCCUUCUUUGUCUCCCAUAUACGGUAACAUCCAAACAUGUAGUCUGAUUAAGUGGUCUCAUGGUACAAGGUCGUGAGGGAUGUUGUCGAGUAAGCGAAGAGCAAGGUUGCCUUGAGGUUAUUUUUCUCUUUCCUUAGAUGGGGACCCUACCGCAAUAGCACCUCCAUACCCAAGGGUCUCAGCACGCUAUGCCACUGUGUACUUGUUAGGACAGCCAUAACAAAAUACCACACACUGGGUGGCUUAAACAACAGAAAUGUAUUGUCUCGCAGUUCUGGAGGCUAGAAGUCCAAGAUCAAGGUGUGAGCAGAGUUUAUUUCCUUUUAGGCCUCUCCUUGGCUUGCAAAUGGCCGUCUUCUUGCUGUGUGGUCUCAUGGUCUUCCCUCUGUGCACCUGCAAGCCUGCUAUCUGUCCGUAUAUCCUAAUUUUCUCUCGUGAUGACACCAGUCAAAUGAAAUCAGCGCUCGCUCCAACAGCUUCAUUUUAACCUAAUCACUCCUAUAGAGGCCCUAUGUCCAAACACAGCCACAUUCUGAGGUACUGGGGGCUUAAGCCUUCAACAAAGGAAUUUCAGGGGUACACAAUUCAGCCCGUAACAACUCCCUAUGUCAGGGAUGCUUAUCCUGUUCCCUUAACUAAAUCCUAAUCAUCUUCUGCAUCCCAACUUAAAACAUCCCUUCCUUAAAAGAGCCUAUCCUAACGGCCUCUCACUUCCUAGAGACAAGUUCAGACCCCUUUCGAGGCACCCUUCAACUUGUACUUCUCAUGACUGUUAGCAAAUAAAUCACUGGGUAAGGAGCCGAUUGGCUUUUGUCCCUCUCCGUGAGACUUUCAUCUUCCACAGGGCAGGGAGAUGGACGUUCUUGCUCAUUCCUGCAUCCUCAGGGACUAGCCAGGGCCUGGCCCAGGCAGCAAAUGUUUACUGAGUCAACACGUAAAUGAAUAAUGCUUUCAGGAAGCAAUGAAAGCCACAGAAUGUUUUCUCAGUUUGUUUAUGAUGCCUGAUACAAACGCUCCUCAAGUCCCAAAGCCCACUUCCAACCAGCCUCGCUCCUUCUCCUUACCCAAAAGCACAACUGACUCCUUCUUCCUCAUCAAUCCUGCAGCACAUUAUUUAUGCAGUUGGUUUCAUGCCUUUAAGUUUAUUUAUUUUGAGAGAGACAG